rnacentral:rRNA from 1 species
GAUGAACGCUGGCGGCGUGCCUAAUACAUGCAAGUCGAGCGAACAGACGAGGAGCUUGCUCCUUUGACGUUAGCGGCUGACGGGUGAGUAACACGUGGGUAACCUACCUAUAAGACUGGGAUAACUUCGGGAAACCGGAGCUAAUACCGGAUAAUAUUUCGAACCGCAUGGUUCGAUAGUGAAAGAUGGCUUUGCUAUCACUUAUAGAUGGACCUGCGCCGUAUUAGCUAGUUGAUAAGGUAACGGCUUACCAAGGCAACGAUACGUAGCCGACCUGAGAGGGUGAUCGGCCACACUGGAACUGAGACACGGUCCAGACUCCUACGGGAGGCAGCAGUAGGGAAUCUUCCGCAAUGGGCGAAAGCCUGACGGAGCAACGCCGCGUGAGUGAUGAAGGUCUUCGGAUCGUAAAACUCUGUUAUUAGGGAAGAACAAACGUGUAAGUAACUGUGCACGUCUUGACGGUACCUAAUCAGAAAGCCACGGCUAACUACGUG